AUACGUAGGUGGCAAGCGUCGUCCGGAUUUAUUGGGCGUAAAGCGAGCGCAGGCGGUUUUUUAAGUCUGAUGUGAAAGCCUUCGGCUUAACCGGAGAAGUGCAUCGGAAACUGGGAGACUUGAGUGCAGAAGAGGACAGUGGAACUCCAUGUGUAGCGGUGGAAUGCGUAGAUAUAUGGAAGAACACCAGUGGCGAAGGCGGCUCUCUGGUCUGUAACUGACGCUGAGGCUCGAAAGCGUGGGUAGC
rnacentral:rRNA from 1 species